rnacentral:antisense_RNA from 1 species
CUCAAUGGUGGGCUGAAUGGGGCAGCCGAAAGUCUGGCCGGACGGUGAACCCGGUAACGCUAACUCCAUUCAGUUCACCACCAAU